CACGCACGCACACACACACACACACACGCGCACACACACACACACACACACACACACACACACACACACACACACACACACACACACACACACACACACACACACACACACACACACACACACACACACACACACACACACACACACACACACACACACACACACACACACACACACACACACACACACUUAUCCUAACCCUUAGUAUACUACUACCCUCAUCCAUACGCGGGUAUAUUAUCCCAUAUUCCAUCGCCCCUGCAUGAGUUUUCAAGUUAUAUAAUAGUCGUAUGUAAAAUAUACACAUGGAAUGCUUACUUGCAGGCUCCUUCUCGACAAUGCAACAACAGUAAGAAGUGAUAAAAGAUUACAAACAAAGUAAAUGAGCCAAUAGAAUAAACUGGCCUACACACAAUACCCCAAAAUGUCAAAGUGGAUUUUUUUUAUUUUUUAAAUGGCUUGAGCCAGUAAGUAUUCAACCCAUUUGUUAUGGUAAAUUAGUUCAGGAGUAAAAAUGUACCGUAUGACGUGUGUGGGCUUCUCACUCUGCUCAGUGUGUGUGUGUGUGUGUGUGUGUGUGUGUGUGUGUGUGUGUGUGUGUGUGUGUGUGUAAUAAUAGUGAUUUAACAUCAUUUCUGAAUGAAUACGUCAUCUCUGUACCCCACACAUACAAUUAUCUUUACGGUUCCUCAGUCGAGCAGUGAAUUUCAAACACAUUUUCAACCACGAAUACCAGGGAGGCCUCGCAAAGAAGAGCACCUAUUGGUGGAUGGGUACAAAGUAAAAAAGAAAAAAAAGAAGACAUUGAUGAAGUUAUUAAUUACACUCUGAAAGAUGUAUAAGUGCACACAGUCACUACAAAGGUAAAGGCGUCCUUCCUCACUCAGUUGCCAGAUAAGAAGGAAACCACUCAGGGAUUUCACCGUGAGGCCAAUGCAAUGGUGACAUUAAAAACAGUUUAAUGGUCAUGAUAGGAGAAAAUGGAGGAUGGAUCAACAUUGUAGUUACUCCACAAUGCUAACCUAUAAUUGACAGAGAGAAAAGAAGAAAGCCUGCACCGAAUAAACAAUAUUCAAAAACAUGCACCCUGUUUGCAACAAGGCACUAAAGUAAUACUGCAAAAAAAAUGUGGCAAAGCAAUUCACUUUAUGUCCUGAAUACAAAGUUUGGGGCAAAUCCAAUACAACACAUUACUGAAUACCACUCUCCAUAUUUUCAAGCAUAAUGGUGGCUGCAUCCUAAGGACUGGGGAGUUUUUCAGGAUAAAAAAAAAAAAGAAAUGUUACGGAGCUAAGCACAGGCAACAUCCUAGAGGAAAACCUGGUUCAGUCUGCUUUCCACCAGACGAUGGAAGAUGGGAUUCACCUUUCAGUAGUACAAUAGCAAGGCGACAGUGAAUGUUCCGGAGUGGCCGAGUCACAGUUGUAAAUCUAAGGCAAGACCUGAAAAUGGUUGUGUGGCAAUGAUCAACAAUCAAUUUGACAGAGUUUGAAGAAUUUUGAAAAGAGUAAUAGCAAACGUCGCACAGUCCAGGUGUGGAAAGCUCUUCGUGCCUUUACCCAGAAAGACUCACAGCUGUAAUCACUGCCAAAGGUGCGUCGACAAAGUAUUAACUCACGGGUGUAAAUACUUAUGUAAAAUUAGAUAUUUCUGUAUUUAUUUGUCAAAAAAAUUGCUCAAAUGUCUAAAAACAUGUUUACAUGAUGUCAUUAUGGGGUAUUGUGUGUAGAUGGGUCAAAAAAGAAUAAUUCAACAAUGGGGGCUGCAGGUGGCCUAGUGGUUAGAGCAUUGGGCCAGUAACUGAAAGGUAGCCUAGUGGUUAGAGCAUUGGGCCAGUAACUGAAAGGUAGCCUAGUGGUUAGAGCAUUGGGCCAGUAACUGAAAGGUAGCCUAGUGGUUAGAGCAUUGGGCCAGUAACUGAAAGGUAGCCUAGUGGUUAGAGCAUUGGGCCAGUAACUGAAAGGUAGCCUAGUGGUUAGAGCAUUGGGCCAGUAACUGAAAGGUAGCCUAGUGGUUAGAGCAUUGGGCCAGUAACUGAAAGGUAGCCUAGUGGUUAGAGCAUUGGGCCAGUAAUUGAAAGGUUGCCUAGUGGUUAGAGCAUUGGGCCAGUAACUGAAAGGUAGCCUAGUGGUCAGAGCAUUGGGCCAGUAACUGAAAGGUAGCCUAGUGGUUAGAGCAUUGGGCCAGUAACUGAAAGGUAGCCUAGUGGUUAGAGCAUUGGGCCAGUAACUGAAAGGUAGCCUAGUGGUUAGAGCAUUGGGCCAGUAACUGAAAGGUAGCCUAGUGGUUAGAGCAUUGGGCCAGUAACUGAAAGGUAGCCUAGUGGUUAGAGCAUUGGGCCAGUAACUGAAAGGUAGCCUAGUGGUUAGAGCAUUGGGCCAGUAACUGAAAGGUUGCUAGAUUGAAUCCCUGAGCUGACAAGGUAAAAAUCUGUCGUUCUGCCCCUGAACAAGGCAGUUAACCCACUGUUCCUAGGCCGUCAUUGAAAAUAAGAAUUUGUUCUUAACUGACUUGCCUAGUCCAACGCGCUAACCACUAGGCUAGCUGCCACAUGUGUUGUGAGACUUGAGUUGUCGAACAUCUAUUCAAGUUUGAGUCUGUAUUGUCUUUUUGCGUCCCUAAUGGAUUUACGGCGCUUUGUACCUGGCUUGCUGUGUAUGUGUCGCGCGUCAUCAGGGUUCGUUCUGCGGACAUUGAAUGAUGCAGUACGGGCUCUCAGCAUGGUACGGAUUUCUCUGUUCGCCCAGGGUUUUUGUUUGGGGUGUGUCCGGAUUGUUAUUGUGGGUACAACAUCAAUCAACAUAUUUCCUAAUGAAGCCUGUGACAGACAGAUUUAGCCAAAGCAUUCUCAGGGAUAGUUAGUUGAUUGACUAUAUAAAAUCCCAAUGAUGGCAGUCUGCGGUGGCAUGAAACAGUACUGCAGGUCAUUAUGAUCAUCUUGGAAGGAGAGUUGAGCCCUCACACACUUCCUGUCACACACACACACGUCCUGUGUUUGCGAUG